rnacentral:rRNA from 1 species
UACAGAGGUGGCAAGCGUUGUUCGGAAUUACUGGGCGUAAAGGGCGCGUAGGCGGUCGGGUCAGUCCCGUGUGAAAUCCCUCGGCUCAACUGAGGAACUGCACGGGAAACUACCUGGCUUGAGUUCGGGAGAGGGAAGCGGAAUUCCGGGUGUAGCGGUGAAAUGCGUAGAUAUCUGGAGGAACACCGGUGGCGAAGGCGGCAUCCUGGACCGACACUGACGCUGAGGAGCGAAAGCCAGGGGAGCAAACGGG